rnacentral:tRNA from 1 species
GGAGAGAUGGCUGAGCUGGUCUAAGGCGCACGACUGGAAAUCGUGUAACCGUUGAUAGCGGUUCAAGGGUUCGAAUCCCUUUCUCUCCGCCA